rnacentral:tRNA from 1 species
CAGAAAAUAAUAUAAAUAUAGUAUUUGAAUUUUGGAGAUUUAAAGUGAGGAAUCUUUUCUGA